ACUCUGCCAAAGAUGGAUCACAUUUGGGUCCACUGACCCAUAGAGGACACUCUAACUCAGACACUAUCAGACCCAACCUCUCUGCAGCUCUAGAAGAAAUGAAAGAGUGAGAAGCACCGGGGUCCAUUAAAGCAUACACCUCGGAACACCCAAUGAUGAGAUUACCUGACACCACCGUGUUCGACGUGUCUGCCUCCUGCUGAGUCAGGGUGAAAAUCCGUGCUGGGGCUGACGGACCUGCACCUCGGGAACCCAUCCCUGAUGAAGAGGCUGCCCCUCUUCCUCUUCCUCUACCACUGCUUGGUGGUAUGGCUGAAACUACGGGCUGGACUACACUGCCCGUACUCAUCUGCUGGGAUGGUGCAACCAAAGUCGCCUGAGGACAUUCUCGUGCAUAAUGUCCCUCCUGCCCACAUCUAUAGCAGGCUGUGGAUCCCAACUGACAAGCUCCUCUAUGCUGUUUGCCACACCUC
rnacentral:lncRNA from 1 species